rnacentral:rRNA from 1 species
GAUGAACGCUGGCGGCGUGCCUAAUACAUGCAAGUCGAGCGAACGGACGAGAAGCUUGCUUUUCUGAUGUUAGCGGCGGACGGGUGAGUAACACGUUGAUAACCUACCUGUAAGACUGGGAUAACUUCGGGAAACCGGAGCUAAUACCGGAUAAUAUUUUGAACCGCAUGGUUCAAAAGUGAAAGACGGUCUUGCUGUCACUUAUAGAUGGAUCCGCGCUGCAUUAGCUAGUUGGUAAGGUAACAGCUUACCAAGGCAACGAUGCAUAGCCGACCUGAGAGGGUGAUCGGCCACACUGGAACUGAGACACGGUCCAGACUCCUACGGGAGGCAGCAGUAGGGAAUCUUCCGCAAUGGGCGAAAGCCUGACGGAGCAACGCCGCGUGAGUGAUGAAGGUCUUCGGAUCGUAAAACUCUGUUAUUAGGGAAGAACAUAUGUGUAAGUAACUGUGCACAUCUUGACGGUACCUAAUCAGAAAGCCACGGCUAACUACGUG